UACGUAGGGAGCAAGCGUUGUUCGGAUUUAUUGGGCGUAAAGGGCGCGUAGGCGGCAAUUCAAGUCAGCUGUGAAAUCUCCGGGCUUAACUCGGAACGGUCAGCUGAUACUGCUUUGCUAGAGUGCGGAAGGGGCAAUCGGAAUUCUCGGUGUAGCGGUGAAAUGCGUAGAUAUCGAGAGGAACACCUGAGGUGAAGACGGGUUGCUGGGCCGACACUGACACUGAGAGACGAAAGCUAGGGGAGCGAAUGGG
rnacentral:rRNA from 1 species